rnacentral:lncRNA from 1 species
AUUAAUACUUAGGCAUAAAUUUAUACUUACAUAAUAUAAAAAUUAAUAUUUCAAAACUAAUAUUUUAUUGACAGAUAUUGUAUUUCUAAUUUGUAUAGAUCUACUAUACUAUAGGAAGUAUAGAAGAUUUGAUAUUUUUGAUCUUUUAACUUUUGAGUUAAGAAUUGUAUGAUUGAAAUGAUUGCGGUAUUUUCUAGAAUUGAAUAGUAUUUUUAGAAUUGAAUGGUUUUAAUAGGAUACUAACAUUAAUUCAAAAAUUAAAGUGAUAAAAAAAAUUGAUCUAAAAAUUAAAAAGUCGGAAGUACCGAAUCCGCUAUACUUCCGAUUUA